AUUGGUUUUCAGCCUUUUAGUGAAAAUCAAGUGUAGCAGUUUCUAUCAGUUUAAUAUCAGAUAUGUCCUCUAAUCCAAGGACAAUAUAUCAAGUGGAGUUUUACCCUGUUUCCCCGAAAAUAAGACAGCGUCUUAUUUUAAGGUGUGCUCCCAAAGAUGCGGUAGGUCUUAUUUUCAGGGGACGUCUUAU